UAGCUUAGGGUUUUUAGAACCCUUAACAACAUAUAUAUAGGCAAUUAAAAUAAGGUUCAAUCGCUAAACGCUAGUCUCAGAAUCUGAACGCUAUUUGCUGCGAUUGCAUUUUGUAAACAAAACGCAUUUUGUCUUCUUCUCCACCUUUCCCGUGUCUCGAGCUCAGGGACUGUAACCGCGGCUCGGCCUGGCCUUCUCUGUCGCUUCACCGCAUCUGCUCGCCCUCGUCUCUCCCGCGUCCAAGCCGGAGCUUCUGGUCUCGCCGUCGCGUCUGCUCAUCUUCUCUCCUCGUCGGAGCUGCUGUUCGAACCGAGAGGACACCAUCGAGCAUUCAGAUUCUUGAAGUGGCCGAUUCAGGCUGGUCGGGCUGAGGCUUAGGCCGAGGGAGCUGAAUCGAGCAGACCGGUUCGAGUUCAGUGGUCGCUUUGUUCCUCACGAACCAAAGCUUGAGGUUUGGGUCGAGGAAGAUGAAACGAGCAAGCCACAUAUGUGCUCAUCGAUCGCUUUGAACUCUCGGAUCGUCUAGACCGACGUUUGGAAAGAGCUGGAAGGAUCGAGCUCUCCGUCUUCUUCACAUCGAACGCUUUCAAGCUUUCGAUUCAUCCAUGGCCAUCUUCUGCACAUUUGCACCUUUGGUCCCUGCUCUUCUAACAAUUUACAGUUUGACCCCAAAACUUCUAUCUUGUGCAGUUUGGUCCUUGAUUUCUCCCCAAAACUCCUAAUUGUGCAUUCCAGCCCCUAUAUAUGCAAUAUGUAAAAAUGCAACACCUAACGACACCUAAAUGCAAUUUUUAGGCACUAAAAUGACCAAAAUCAAUAGCUAAAAACAUGUAAAAAUACUAUACAUCAUUAAGUUGCUUUUGGGACCACAAGGAGGAAUCUCUCCAUUUUGUCCUCUUGUGCAUUAGGUUUAAAGAUGUCUCUACUAUAAAGAGAGGCUGAGAACGUGAGAGAGAGAUUGAACCACACAAAGAGCUUAGAAGGGUGAGAGAAACAUGUGAGCUUAAGCCUAGCUUUGGGUUUUCUCAUUAGAACAUAGAAAGAUACAUUAGAGUGAGUUCAUGAGUGAUAUGAUGAGUGAAUCACUGGUAUCAUUGUAACUAUGUUAUACCUUCUAGUGGAUUCCGAGCUGUAGUCUCGGGGAGAUGUAGUGACCCUGGGGAGAUGUAGUGACCCUCGUUAACGGGUGCGAACUUCUUAAAUCUUGUGUGUGCUCCCAUCUUCUCCUUCUCUCUAAUCUCCUUUUCCAAACUCUCUAUACUUUGCUUUUCUACAACUCUGUUUUUACAGUAUUCUAUUUUUGGACUUCAAGCAACUUCUAUCUUGGUUUGUUGUGGGUUUAUGCUGAGACAAAGUGAUGUCUUUAAGCCCUGAAUCCUAACAUAGAUGAAAUCGUUGGAUGUUCUCAUGCGCUUCCAAUCAAUAGAAGAGCAUGAGGAGCUACUUUGUAACUUGUGAGCGAGUACAGCAUGGUGAAACCGCCCAAAGAUCUCAAGAGAUGAUCGAAUGCUCUGGUCGUUUUUAAAGGAGAAGGGAAGGAGGGUUUUGUGGUUUUGGGUGUGGGAAAUGAGAUUAUGAUGUUGGAUCCGAAGAAAAGUGAAGAACGUAGAGAGCUUGAAGCUGUGGACGCCAUUGCAACUCUGCUUCCUCUUCUUUGUGAGACAGAGAGGAUGUUGGAAAAGCUGUACUAGGAAGCUAUUCAAGAGUACUUUCUGACUUGUAACAUAUUUGCUUGGAUUGAUCAUGUUCCCUACGUACACAAAAACAUGAAAGAUAGUGAAAAAGUUGUUAUAUGCUUUCGACUUAACUUCUAAGUUACGUUUUUGUUAUGUAAUGAGAGUUUCUUUGGUUGAGCCCAGCUGUAGAAAAUCCCAAGGGUUUUUUUUUUUUGGUAAA